rnacentral:tRNA from 1 species
UGGGGAGUGGUGCAAUUGGCAGCACAGCGGCCUUUGGAGCCGUUAAUCUUGGUUCGAGUCCAGGCUCCCCAG